AAGCGGUGGAGUAUGUGGUUUAAUUCGAUGCAACGCGAAGAACCUUACCUGGUCUUGACAUCCCGGAGACCCUUAGGAAACUAGGGGUGCUUCCAUCUGGAAGAAUCUGGAGACAGGUGCUGCAUGGCUGUCGUCAGCUCGUGUCGUGAGAUGUUGGGUUAAGUCCCGCAACGAGCGCAGCCCUAUCUUAUGUUGCCAGCACGUUAUGGUGGGGACUCGUAAGAGACUGCCGGGGUCAACUCGGAGGAAGGUGGGGACGACGUCAAGUCAUCAUGCCCCUUAUGUCCAGGGCUUCACACAUGCUACAAUGGCCAGUACAGAGGGCUGCGAGACCGUGAGGUGGAGCGAAUCCCUUAAAGCUGGUCUCAGUUCGGAUCGGGGUCUGCAACUCGACCCCGUGAAGUCGGAGUCGCUAGUAAUCGCAGAUCAGCAACGCUGCGGUGAAUACGUUCCCGGGCCUU
rnacentral:rRNA from 1 species